AAACUCAAGCUGGGGGUCAGUGAACACAUUCCUGUUGUAAGUGACCAUGAAUCCACUUUCUUUCUUCUAGUUGGAAGAUUUGAUAAGAUAGAGAGGAUUUCAAAAGAACACGUUUUUUUAAAUAAACAAACACCACGCUAGGUUCAUUUUUACAAUCCAAUUCUCCUCCCUCGAAAUGACAAAAAGCUCUCCGAAUUAAAAGGUUAUAAAUAUCUAAGGCUGAGUAUAUAUUACAUAACCGUGAAACGCUAGAGAAAUACUACUGACAAGAUGAAAAACCAUAGAUUUUCACCGACAUUUUUCAAGUUUACGUUAUUUCCUGCAUGUUCUUUUAAACAGCAUUUUAUUUUUCAUUUACGUUUGGUAUAGUCCGCGUCAGCAAAUUUUCAGAAUUCUACAGAUGGGCUACGUCAUGGCAUACCACCUGACAAUUAAAGUUCCGCAUUCAAAAUUAUUGGUCGUAAACUUCUCUUCAGCUGGAAGGCACUUGUGCACUGCUCUAUUGUGUUUACUUGACGGAAGCAAGUUUACUUUUAUACAAGCCGAAGCCGCUGUUCUAAAAAUAUCGAAAAAAUUUGUUGAAUCUAACUUAAGUUUAUGGAAAUUAACAUUGCAGAAUGGUCCGUUGACUCUCUGUCCUCAGGGGGAAGCAAGAAAUGAAUAAAACAUAAUUCUAGCUGAAACAUUUUCUUGAAAUUUUGCAAGCUGAAUGGAUAAGUGGUUGAAAAGAUAGUCCCAAUAGUCUACUCAAUAAGAUCCGCGAGAUACAUUGAAAAAAUACGGAGAAAGGGUGUUUCCUAGCUUCGGUUUAAAAUGUAAAUACUUAACUUUCAUUUUCAAGUCCAUGAACUUGGGCGUUCUCUGGCGCUUUUUUUUUUCCCAACAGCUUUCAAACCUAGGGGCUAUACCGGGGUUUCACCGUUUGUUUUUUGUUUCACCGUCUACAUUCGAGUCGUGUUCCACAGAUGGAGUCUCUGAAUACGUGUACAAGUCGUAAAAAAAGAUAAACCUAAAAAAAUGGGGUUUUCUCUUAUCUAUUAUUUUGGGCCUUUUUUGCAAGCGCAAGCGCAUAACUUAAUCAUAUUCGUCUUUUGGGAAAAAACUGUCAUCCGUCGCCGAGUUAGUUUCAUUCUUCAUAAACGUCUAAUGGAACCUCGAUUAACAUUUUUCCGUAACAAUGUUUUCUAGAAUGCCAUUCCACUAAAAAGUGCCGAGGAAUUCACCUUACCUGACCAUACCAUAAAAUUAUAGCGUCCAGUAGAAGUUGCUGUAACCAUGGGAAUGGCGAAUGACCCAUCGAUCAAACAAGAAUUGAAAAUAAGGAAAAAAAGUUACACCGUGCGGGCUUGAAGCGGAACGGCCGGAAGUUGAUCCUCCACCCUCCGUCUCGCCGGGGUUUUUUAAACAUCAGGGCACGAAUUAAUUCUAAAAUAAUGAUCAGAUACGCGUAGUUUCACACUGAACACAAGAGAUGUUUGAUGUUACACACAGGUGGAGUACACACAUCCUGAUGAACAUCAACCCUAGCUGUUGUGUUAUAAUGAUUGGUCACCUGUUCGUUUCAUAUACAACCGCACCUGCAAUACCCUGUAUAUACACUCUAUUCACUCGGUCAUUAAAAGUAGACAAUGUGUUGGUCGUCCGGUGAAAAUAUUGCUACAAACAAGUGGGAAAAGCCAAAGAUGCUCAAGGGCUUCGACAGGAAAUGGCGAACGGAGAAUGCCGUUCCAGUCUGACAGCCACUAUUUAGAAACCUAGUGUACCCCCAGCGCUCUACACCAACAUCAGUCGGGCGUGGUAUUUUCCAAACUUCCCGUGUGCUGCGCGUGCACGAAAAUCAAUGGAAAAAAGGGAAAUUUGCAAAACUUGUUGGUAUUUGCUGCAAUUGUAUUGUCUGAAAGCAAGAGAGCAGGCCUUACUAGCAUGCACAAACAAAGCGAAAGGACUUAGUAUUAAUAGGAAUAUCGGAUUUGUAUAUAAUAAAGGAGUGGUAGUUUUUUAAGAGCAGAUCGAUAGCUUUGAGUUUGGAAAAUAAAUAAAGGGAAGUUUGAAGAAA